rnacentral:tRNA from 2 species
CGGGGCAUGGUGUAACGGCUAACAUACGCGUUUCGGGUACGCGCGACUCCCGGUUCGAAUCCGGGUGCCCCGA